UGUUCACUGAAAAAUUGUGAAAAAUAUUGGAAAAAUUUUAAUUUAAAACCAUCAAAUCAAUCACGUGUAUUGUGGAAAUUAUUUUUCAAAUUCAUUUGUCUUAAACCAGCAACAAGUGUUUUGUGAUAGUGACACUUUAUGAGCGGGAAAUUUUCUCACUUUGAUUAAUUACAAUUUACGAUGCCGAGGAGAAGACGGCAUGACUUAGGUCGUCGUAGUCAACUAAAUGUGCGAAGAGCUACCUCACGUGCUAACCGCACUGAUGACCAGAGACAGGCAGAUCAAGAAAAUAGUCGUAUUGCUAUGUCAGAAUUGCGUUCUGUAGUGAGUGAUAAUGUAGGAGAUAGGCUUAGAAUGCAAUGAGUUCGGGCACAUCAAACACAUCAACAGCAAGCUAGACAUAAUGAAAUUGAGCGAAUCCGCAGACGUAGUGCUCCUGUGAUUCUUGAACGAGCUGCAUUCCACUAUGAUCCGGCAAUUGAUUAUUUUGCCGACAAAUCUGUAAAAAUUGGGGAAAUGAAAACAAUUUGUAAAUAUUGUAAGGCGUUAAAGAACACUGUUGAAUCUACUGGAUUAUGUUGCGCUGAAGGCAAAGUAAAAUUGCCACAAUUGGUCCCACCCCCAGAUCCUUUACGCUCUUUAGUUUCUGGGAUUGGAAAUGAUUCUAAGCACUUCUUGACCAACAUUCAGAAAUAUAACAACUGUUUCCAGAUGACAUCAUUUGGUGCUACACAUAUUAUACAAGACAAUUUCAUGCCCACUUUUAAGAUACAAGGACAAUUUUAUUACUUACUGGGAACUCUGUUAGCACUACCUGAUGCAGAUCAUCAAUUUUUACAAAUUUAUUUUAUGGGCAAUUCAGAUGAGGAAAUUAAUAAUCGUUGUGCUCACAAUCCAACAGUGAAGAGAACCAUUGUCCAACAAUUACAAAUGUUUCUUCAUCAGAAUAACAAUUUAGUAAACAUGAUCAAAAUAGCAUUGGAUCGGAUGCCAUCUGAUAGCCAUAAUACUGGAAGACUGGCUGUGAAAAGACUGAUGAAUAACGUCAUUGAG